rnacentral:rRNA from 1 species
UGGGGAAUAUUGCACAAUGGAGGGAACUCUGAUGCAGCGACGCCGCGUGAGUGAUGAAGGAAUUCGUUUCGUAAAACUCUGUUCUAUGGGAAGAAAAGGACUGUACCAUAGGAGAAAGCUCCGGCUAAAUACGUGCCAGCAGCCGCGGUAAUACGUAUGGAGCGAGCGUUGUCCGGAAUUAUUGGGCGUAAAGGGUGCGCAGGCGGCUUUACAAGUUGGAUGUGAAAUAUUGUGGCUCAACCACAAACGUGCAUCCAAAACUGCAAAGCUUGAGUUAAGGAGAGGUAAGUGGAAUUCCUGGUGUAGCGGUGGAAUGCGUAGAUAUCGGGAGGAACACCAGUGGCGAAGGCGGUUCUCUGGACCUUUCCUGACGCUGAGAAGCGAAAGCGUGGGUAGCAAACAGG